rnacentral:snRNA from 1 species
GGGCUCGCUUCAGCAGCACACAUACUAAAAUUGGACCAAUACAGAGAAGAUUAGCAUGGCCCCUGCACCAGGAUGACACACAAAUUCAUGAAACAUUCCAUAUUUUU